ensembl:miRNA
GCUCUAGCAGCACGUAAAUACUGGAGUGGGGGAUCGCCUGUUGCUCUCCAGUAUUGCAUUGCUGCUUUAGU